CAGAGGAUAGUUUAUUUAAAAUAAUAGUUUUGGGAAUUGUUGAUAAGUUUUACUUUCCUUUGA
rnacentral:tRNA from 1 species